rnacentral:rRNA from 1 species
GACGAACGCUGGCGGCGUGCCUAAUACAUGCAAGUAGAACGCACAGUUUAUACCGUAGCUUGCUACACCAUAGACUGUGAGUUGCGAACGGGUGAGUAACGCGUAGGUAACCUGCCUGGUAGCGGGGGAUAACUAUUGGAAACGAUAGCUAAUACCGCAUAAUAUUAAUUAUUGCAUGAUAAUUAAUUGAAAGGUGCAAUUGCACCACUACCAGAUGGACCUGCGUUGUAUUAGCUAGUAGGUGAGGUGACGGCUCACCUAGGCGACGAUACAUAGCCGACCUGAGAGGGUGAUCGGCCACACUGGGACUGAGACACGGCCCAGACUCCUACGGGAGGCAGCAGUAGGGAAUCUUCGGCAAUGGACGAAAGUCUGACCGAGCAACGCCGCGUGAGUGAAGAAGGUUUUCGGAUCGUAAAGCUCGGUUGUAAGAGAAGAACGGGUGUGAGAGUGGAAAGUUCACACUGUGACGGUAUCUUACCAGAAAGGGACGGCUAACUACGUG